rnacentral:rRNA from 1 species
GACGUAGGGCGCGAGCGUUGUCCGGAUUUAUUGGGCGUAAAGAGCCGUCGCUAGGCGUCGUCGCGUCUGCUGUGAAAACUCAGGGCUUAACCCUGAGCUUGCAGUGGGUACGGGCAGACUAGAGUGCGGUAGGGGAGACUGGAAUUCCUGGUGUAGCGGUGAAAUGCGCAGAUAUCAGGAGGAACACCGAUGGCGAAGGCAGGUCUCUGGGCCACUACUGACGCUGAGAAGCGAAAGCAUGGGGAGCGAACAGG